rnacentral:rRNA from 1 species
CACGUAGGGCGCAAGCGUUGUCCGGAAUUAUUGGGCGUAAAGAGCUCGUAGGCGGUCUGUUGCGUCCGCUGUGAAAACUCGGGGCUUAACCCCGAGCCUGCAGUGGAUACGGGGCAGACUAGAGGUAGGUAGGGGAGAAUGGAAUUCCCGGUGUAGCGGUGAAAAUGCGCAGAUAUCGGGAGGAACACCGGUGGCGAAGGCGGUUCUCUGGGCCUUACCUGACGCUGAGGAGCGAAAAGCGUGGGGGAGCGAACAGGG